UACAGAGGGUGCGAGCGUUGUUCGGAAUCACUGGGCGUAAAGGGUGCGUAGGCCGCACGGUAAGUCAGAGGUGAAAUCCCGGAGCUCAACUCCGGAAUGGCCUCCGAUACUGCCGUGCUCGAGGACUGGAGAGGAGUCUGGAAUUCACAGUGGAGCAGUGAAAUGCGUAGAUAUUGUGAGGAACACUAGUGGCGAAGGCGAGACUCUGGACAGUUCCUGACGCUGGGGCACGAAGGCCAGGGGAGCAAACGGG
rnacentral:rRNA from 1 species